rnacentral:rRNA from 1 species
CCCCUAGAUGUUCUGGGCCGCACGCGCGCUACACUGAACAGUUCAACAAGUCUUAACCUUGGCCGAUAGGUCUGGGUAAUCUUUGAACGCUGUUCGUGAUUGGGAUAGACCUUUGCAAUUAUGGGUCUUCAACGAGGAAUUCCUAGUAAACGCAAGUCAUCAGCUUGCAUUGAUUACGUCCCUGCCCUUUGUACCCACCGCCCGUCGCACCUACCGAUUGAAUGGUCCGGUGAAGCCUCCGGAUUGGCGCGCACCUCGGUGCCGCCGAGAAGUUGGCUAAACCUUACCAUUUAGAGGAAGGUGAAGUCGUAACA